GACGAACGCUGGCGGCGUGCUUAACACAUGCAAGUCGAACGGAAAGGCCCUGCUUUUGUGUGGUGCUCGAGUGGCGAACGGGUGAGUAACACGUGAGUAACCUGCCCUUGACUUUGGGAUAACUUAAGGAAACUGGGGCUAAUACCGGAUAGGAGCUCCUGGUGCAUGGUGGGGGUUGGAAAGUUUCGGCGGUUGGGGAGGGACUCGCGGCCUAUCAGGGUGUGGGUGUGGUAGUGGCCUACCAAGGCUAUGACGGGGAGCCGGCCUGUGAGGGUGACCGGCCACACUGGGACUGAGGGACGGCCCGGACUCCACCGGGAGGCAGCAGGGGGGAAGAGUGCACAAUGGGCGGAAGCCUGAUGCAGCGACGCCGCGUGAGGGAUGACGGCCUUCGGGUUGUAAACCUCUUUCAAGAGGGACGAAGCGCAAGUGACGGUACCUAUAGAAGAAGCACCGGCCAACUACGUG
rnacentral:rRNA from 1 species